UUGAACGCUGGCGGCAGGCCUAACACAUGCAAGUCGAGCGGUAGCACAGAGAGCUUGCUCUCGGGUGACGAGCGGCGGACGGGUGAGUAAUGUCUGGGAAACUGCCUGAUGGAGGGGGAUAACUACUGGAAACGGUAGCUAAUACCGCAUAACGUCGCAAGACCAAAGUGGGGGACCUUCGGGCCUCAUGCCAUCAGAUGUGCCCAGAUGGGAUUAGCUAGUAGGUGGGGUAACGGCUCACCUAGGCGACGAUCCCUAGCUGGUCUGAGAGGAUGACCAGCCACACUGGAACUGAGACACGGUCCAGACUCCUACGGGAGGCAGCAGUGGGGAAUAUUGCACAAUGGGCGCAAGCCUGAUGCAGCCAUGCCGCGUGUGUGAAGAAGGCCUUCGGGUUGUAAAGCACUUUCAGCGGGGAGGAAGGCGAUAAGGUUAAUAACCUUGUCGAUUGACGUUACCCGCAGAAGAAGCACCGGCUAACUCCGUGCCAGCAGCCGCGGUAAUACGGAGGGUGCAAGCGUUAAUCGGAAUUACUGGGCGUAAAGCGCACGCAGGCGGUCUGUCAAGUCGGAUGUGAAAUCCCCGGGCUCAACCUGGGAACUGCAUUCGAAACUGGCAGGCUAGAGUCUUGUAGAGGGGGGUAGAAUUCCAGGUGUAGCGGUGAAAUGCGUAGAGAUCUGGAGGAAUACCGGUGGCGAAGGCGGCCCCCUGGACAAAGACUGACGCUCAGGUGCGAAAGCGUGGGGAGCAAACAGGAUUAGAUACCCUGGUAGUCCACGCCGUAAACGAUGUCGAUUUGGAGGUUGUGCCCUUGAGGCGUGGCUUCCGGAGCUAACGCGUUAAAUCGACCGCCUGGGGAGUACGGCCGCAAGGUUAAAACUCAAAUGAAUUGACGGGGGCCCGCACAAGCGGUGGAGCAUGUGGUUUAAUUCGAUGCAACGCGAAGAACCUUACCUGGUCUUGACAUCCACAGAACUUUCCAGAGAUGGAUUGGUGCCUUCGGGAACUGUGAGACAGGUGCUGCAUGGCUGUCGUCAGCUCGUGUUGUGAAAUGUUGGGUUAAGUCCCGCAACGAGCGCAACCCUUAUCCUUUGUUGCCAGCGGUUAGGCCGGGAACUCAAAGGAGACUGCCAGUGAUAAACUGGAGGAAGGUGGGGAUGACGUCAAGUCAUCAUGGCCCUUACGACCAGGGCUACACACGUGCUACAAUGUCAUAUACAAAGAGAAGCGACCUCGCGAGAGCAAGCGGACCUCAUAAAGUAUGUCGUAGUCCGGAUUGGAGUCUGCAACUCGACUCCAUGAAGUCGGAAUCGCUAGUAAUCGUAGAUCAGAAUGCUACGGUGAAUACGUUCCCGGGCCUUGUACACACCGCCCGUCACACCAUGGGAGUGGGUUGCAAAAGAAGUAGGUAGCUUAACCUUCGGGAGGGCGCUUACCACUUUGUGAUUCAUGACUGGGGUG
rnacentral:rRNA from 1 species